GAUGAACGCUGGCGGCGUGCUUAACACAUGCAGGUCGAACGAAGCACUUUAUUACAAUUUCUUCGGAAUGACGAUUUAGUGACUGAGUGGCGGACGGGUGAGUAACGCGUGGGUAACCUGCCUUAUACAGGGGGAUAACAGUUAGAAAUGACUGCUAAUACCGCAUAAGCGCACAGGAUUGCAUGAUCUGGUGUGGAAAACUCCGGUGGUAUAAGAUGGACCCGCGUCUGAUUAGCUGGUUGGUGAGGUAACGGCCCACCAAGGCGACGAUCAGUAGCCGACCUGAGAGGGUGACCGGCCACAUUGGGACUGAGACACGGCCCAAAACUCCUACGGGAGGCAGCAGUGGGGAAUAUUGCACAAUGGGGGAAACCCUGAUGCAGCGACGCCGCGUGAGCGAAGAAGUAUUCGGUAUGUAAAGCUCUAUCAGCAGGGAANAAAAUGACGGUACCUGACUAAGAAGCCCCGGCUAACUACGUGCCAGCAGCCGCGG
rnacentral:rRNA from 1 species